UAAUAAUAAAAUAAAAAAUAAAAAUAAUAAUAAUAAUAAUAAAUGAUUUAUUGAAGUUUGUGGGUAUCUUCACUGAAAACUCUCACGAGACUAUAACUCGUCCACUAGGGUAACCUAGGGGUUUAAAGUCUUGUUACAUAUGGUAAAUGUAACCGCGAUGCCUGCGAAAGUGAGUUAAAAUUCUUCUUUUCUAGUUUUAUUUUGCUCGAGGACUAGCAAAACAUAGGUUUGGGGGUGUGAUAAGUGCUGAAUAAUUUAUAAUUUAGUUAUCUUUUCAUAGCACUUAUCAAUGUUCUUAAACUGAUAAAUACAUACUUUACCAUGAAAUUGAAUAGACAUUGAAAUAAAUUUAAAAUAUGGUAAGAGGUAAAUAAUUUUUUUUCUCAAAACAGACUCUGAACUUGUCCCUCUCCUGGUUGUAAUCUUUCAU
rnacentral:lncRNA from 1 species